UGGGGAAUAUUGCACAAUGGGCGGAAGCCUGAUGCAGCGACGCCGCGUGGGGGAUGACGGCCUUCGGGUUGUAAACCCCUUUCGCCCGGGACGAAGCGAGAGUGACGGUACCGGGAGAAGAAGCACCGGCCAACUACGUGCCAGCAGCCGCGGUAAUACGUAGGGUGCAAGCGUUGUCCGGAAUUAUUGGGCGUAAAGAGCUCGUAGGCGGUGUGUCGCGUCUGCCGUGAAAACCUGCGGCUUAACCGUGGGCGUGCGGUGGAUACGGGCACACUUGAGUUCGGUAGGGGAGACUGGAAUUCCUGGUGUAGCGGUGGAAUGCGCAGAUAUCAGGAGGAACACCAGUGGCGAAGGCGGGUCUCUGGGCCGAAACUGACGCUGAGGAGCGAAAGCGUGGGGAGCGAACA
rnacentral:rRNA from 1 species